AGAGCGAACGCUGGCGGCAGGCCUAACACAUGCAAGUCGAACGAACUCUUCGGAGUUAGUGGCGGACGGGUGAGUAACACGUGGGAACGUGCCUUUAGGUUCGGAAUAACUCAGGGAAACUUGUGCUAAUACCGAAUGUGCCCUUCGGGGGAAAGAUUUAUCGCCUUUAGAGCGGCCCGCGUCUGAUUAGCUUGUUGGUGGGUAAUGGCCCACCAAGGCUACGAUCAGUAGCUGGUCUGAGAGGAUGACCAGCCACAUUGGGACUGAGACACGGCCCAAACUCCGUACGGGAGGCAGCAGGUGGGAAUCGUUGCG
rnacentral:rRNA from 1 species